rnacentral:miRNA from 1 species
UGGCUGCACAGCUACACUGAUCU